rnacentral:lncRNA from 1 species
CAAAUCUAAAACGUUUAAUGCUUCUGGUCGGAGCAAACAAUUAGGUGCAUUUAAUGCUUCCAGUCGGAGCAAACGAUUGGGUGAACAAGAAAUGCUGUAUUUUCCUGGCUGAAACAGACUGUGUGAUCAAUUCAUUUUACAGGGGGAGAAAUUCCAGACACAGGCUUGGGUGGGGUUGGGGGGAGUCUCAAAUUCCCCUUAUUUCAACCUGUGGGGAGACCACUGUAUAGCCAGUUGAGGGAAACACCACUCGGAAUGAGGCCCUUCUAGAUGAGUGGACGUGCCCAGAGAAUGCAGUUUCUGCAAAGGGAAAGUCAGAAGGAAACAGCAUCCAUGCUUCUCCCCAGAUGCAUGGUGAUAUGACAGUGAUGGGCGUCCUCACAGGAUGGAGUCUGGGAUCUUUGGAUGAGAGGUAUUAAACAAUCAG